rnacentral:rRNA from 1 species
UACGUAGGGUGCAAGCGUUGUCCGGAAUUAUUGGGCGUAAAGAGCUCGUAGGCGGUCUGUCGCGUCUGCUGUGAAAACUCAGGGCUUAACCCUGAGCUUGCAGUGGGUACGGGCAGGCUAGAGCGCGGUAGGGGAGACUGGAAUUCCGGGUGUAGUGGUGGAAUGCGUAGAGAUCCGGAGGAACACCAGCGGCGAAGGCGGCGUCCUGGACUGGUACUGACGCUCAGGAGCGAAAGCGUGGGGAGCGAUCCGG